GGCGUAGAGGGCUCGCAGGCGGUUUCUUAAGUCUGAUGUGAAAGCCCCCGGCUCAACCGGGGAGGGUCAUUGGAAACUGGGGAACUUGAGUGCAGAAGAGGAGAGUGGAAUUCCACGUGUAGCGGUGAAAUGCGUAGAGAUGUGGAGGAACACCAGUGGCGAAGGCGACUCUCUGGUCUGUAACUGACGCUGAGGAGCGAAAGCGUGGGGAGCGAACAGGAUUAGAUACCCUGGUAGUCCACGCCGUAAACGAUGAGUGCUAAGUGUUAGGGGGUUUCCGCCCCUUAGUGCUGCAGCUAACGCAUUAAGCACUCCGCCUGGGGAGUACGGUCGCAAGACUGAAACUCAAAGGAAUUGACGGGGGCCCGCACAAGCGGUGGAGCAUGUGGUUUAAUUCGAAGCAACGCGAAGAACCUUACCAGGUCUUGACAUCCUCUGACAAUCCUAGAGAUAGGACGUCCCCUUCGGGGGCAGAGUGACAGGUGGUGCAUGGUUGUCGUCAGCUCGUGUCGUGAGAUGUUGGGUUAAGUCCCGCAACGAGCGCAACCCUUGAUCUUAGUUGCCAGCAUUCAGUUGGGCACUCUAAGGUGACUGCCGGUGACAAACCGGAGGAAGGUGGGGAUGACGUCAAAUCAUCAUGCCCCUUAUGACCUGGGCUACACACGUGCUACAAUGGACAGAACAAAGGGCAGCGAAACCGCGAGGUUAAGCCAAUCCCACAAAUCUGUUCUCAGUUCGGAUCGCAGUCUGCAACUCGACUGCGUGAAGCUGGAAUCGCUAGUAAUCGCGGAUC
rnacentral:rRNA from 1 species